rnacentral:rRNA from 1 species
AUUGAACGCUGGCGGCAUGCUUUACACAUGCAAGUCGAACGGCAGCGCGGACUUCGGUCUGGCGGCGAGUGGCGCACGGGUGAGUAAUGUAUCGGAACGUGCCCAGUAGCGGGGGAUAACUACGCGAAAGCGUAGCUAAUACCGCAUACGCCCUACGGGGGAAAGCCGGGGUUCUUCAGACCUUGCACUAUUAGAUCGUCCGAUUUCGGAUUAGCUAGUUGGUGGGGUAACGGCUCACCAAGGCGACGAUCCGUAGCUGGUGUGAGAGGACGACCAGCCACACUGGGACUGAGACACGGCCCAGACUCCUACGGGAGGCAGCAGUGGGGAAUGUUGGACAAUGGGGGCAACCCGGAUCCAGCCACCCCGCGUGUGCGAGGAAGGUCUUCGGGUUGGAAAGCACUUUUGGUAGGGAAGAAAAGGCGCGGGCUAAUACCCCGUGGAACUGACGGUACCUGCAGAAUAAGCACCGGCUAACUACGUG